rnacentral:lncRNA from 8 species
AUGACAGAGAGAAAUAGAGAAGUCAGAGAGAGAGAGAGACGUCAGAGAGAGAGAGAUUCAGAGAGAGAGACGUCAGAGAGAGAGAGAGAGAGAGAUGGUCAGAGAGAGAGAGAGAUGUCAGAGAGAGAGAGAGAGAUGUCAGAGAGAGAGAGAGAGAGAUGUCAGAGAGAGAGAGAGAGAGAUGUCAGAGAGAGAGAGAGAGAGAUGUCAGAGAGAGAGAGAGAGAGAUGUCAGAGAGAGAGAGAGAGAGAUGUCAGAGAGAGAGAGAGAGAUGUCAGAGAGAGAGAGAGAGAGAGAGAGAGAGAGAUGUCAGAGAGAGAGAGAGAGAGAGAGAGAGAGAGAGAGAUGUCAGAGAGAGAGAGAUGUCAGAGAGAGAGAGAUGUCAGAGAGAGAGAGAUGUCAGAGAGAGAGAGAGAUGUCAGAGAGAGAGAGAGAUGUCAGAGAGAGAGAGAGAGAUGUCAGAGAGAGAGAGAGAGAUGUCAGAGAGAGAGAGAGAGAUGUCAGAGAGAGAGAGAGAGAUGUCAGAGAGAGAGAGAGAUGUCAGAGAGAGAGAGAGAGAUGUCAGAGAGAGAGAGAGAGAUGUCAGAGAGAGAGAGAGAUGUCAGAGAGAGAGAGAGAGAUGUCAGAGAGAGAGAGAGAGAUGUCAGAGAGAGAGAGAGAGAUGUCAGAGAGAGAGAGAGAGAUGUCAGAGGGGGAGAGAUGUCAGAGGGGGAGAGAUGUCAGAGGGGGAGAGAUGUCAGAGGGGGAGAGAUGUCAGAGGGGGAGAGAUGUCAGAGGGGGAGAGGGGGAGAGAUGUCAGAGGGGGAGAGAUGUCAGAGAGAGAGAGAGAGAUGUCAGAGAGAGAGAGAGAGAUGUCAGAGAGAGAGAGAGAGAUGUCAGAGAGAGAGAGAGAGAGAGAGAGAUGUCAGAGGGGGAGAGAUGUCAGAGGGGGAGAGAUGUCAGAGGGGGAGAGAUGUCAGAGGGGGAGAGAUGUCAGAGGGGGAGAGAUGUCAGAGGGGGAGAGAUGUCAGAGGGGGAGAGAUGUCAGAGGGGGAGAGAUGUCAGAGAGAGAGAGAUGUCAGAGAGAGAGAGAUGUCAGAGAGAGAGAGAUGUCAGAGAGAGAGAGAUGUCAGAGAGAGAGAGAUGUCAGAGAGAGAGAGAUGUCAGAGGGGGAGAGAUGUCAGAGGGGGAGAUGGGCCAAACCUUCACUCCUCACUAACUGAUCAAAACAACCAGGGAGAAAACAGCUAG